GUAGAUUAUCUGCCCUCGGGACCGGGAUAGCUGCGGGAAACUGCAGGUAAUACCGGAUAACAUCUCCGGAUCAAAGGUGUGAUUCCGCCCGAGGAUGAGUCUGCAUCCUAUUAGCUAGUUGGCAGGGUAAUGGCCUACCAAGGCUUUGAUGGGUAGCGGGUGUGAGAGCACGACCCGCGUCAUUGGGACUGAGACACUGCCCAGACACCUACGGGUGGCUGCAGUCGAGAAUCUUCGGCAAUGGGCGCAAGCCUGACCGAGCGACGCCGCGUGUGGGAUGAAGGCCUUCGGGUUGUAAACCACUGUUAGAGGGGAUGAAAUGCAGGUGGGUUCUCCCAUCUGUUUGACAUAGCCUCAGAGGAAGGACGGGCUAAGUUCGUGCCAGCAGCCGCGGUAAGACGAACCGUCCAAACGUUAUUCGGAAUCACUGGGCUUAAAGGGUGCGUAGGCGGGCGCGGCAAGUUGGGUGUGAAAUACCUCGGUCUCAACCGAGGAACUGCGCCCAAAACUGCCGUGCUC
rnacentral:rRNA from 1 species